UUUAAAAGAAACUCUUGAGACAUUCACGUGGUUGGAAAUAUCUUGAUUCAUGACCUUACACCAAAUCAAAAAUCACUAAAACAGUAUUCAAGACAUUUUGGGUAGACUUUGCCUUGAGAGGCCAGUUUCUCCUUCCAUAGUUGAUGCACAGUUCUUCAAAAAUGCUCAUAUGUGGGUGUAAGGUGCACAGCUGCUUUAGCUCUUGUGAAGUGUAAUUUAAACCCUGGACAUUCGCAGGUGUUGAGGACCAAAGGGGCCACCACCAUACAGGAAGUAAGAGAAAUAGUUGUGAGCUAAUGACUUCUAAUGGUUUCACAUACCUCAGGUGUGAGUGUCUUCCCUUCAUUGGUAGCUGUAAACUUUGUUAUGAGGGUGAGAUGAUUCAAACAGAUAUAUCAACACAAUUCUAAAAAAAAAAAAAGGUAGACUAGGUUGAAGCUUGACCUUUUUUUAAAUAACUGUUUCCUUUCCGUUUUGAUGUGAUAUCUGCAGUACUGCAUGUUUUUAAAAUGAGUCACUCUGAACACUAUUUUGUGGUCUGGAAAUUUCCAAAACUUAGCUGUACAUCUCAUGACCUUCAGUCUUUCAAACUGUGAUUCUCUCUCCAUCAGAAACACAGUUGUGACUUUGCUGUUGCUCUGUAACUCAUGAUGAGGCUGAUCUUCAAAUCUCUGGAUGUGAAUAAGACUUUUGUUGCAAGGUCUUUGACCCUGAGGAGACAGUACCACAGCACCUGUCUACCUGGAUCCAACUUUGGCAAGAUCCAUGUCAAGAGUGAGCAGAGUUGUGCCGAAGUGCAAUGGAAACAGAGUUAGUGACUGAAAAAUGAUAUAAAUGAAGCAGAUGACUCACACGCGACUCAAGCUUCCUCUCCAGUGACAAACAUGGCAGCAGAUAAGACAUCGUAUGUGUGGACCAAUGAGAAAACUGUGACUGACUGCUCUCAGAUUAGCCAUAAUUUCAUCAUGUUUUCCACAUGGUCUGAGAUCUGACUGGUGCUAUUUUUAAAUACAUUAUCUCAGUUUCUCUCCUCAACUUGGUAAAUGUUUUACCUCACAACAAUCUACUUUAAUGGUAAAUACCUUAAAUGCCUGAUACUGUGCCCCAUCCACAAAACUACCACCUAGACAGCAAGUGGCUAAGCCUAAAGUAAACCUAAGGCACGCCACUAUAAUCCAGACUAUCACACACUGCAUUCAGUCCAAAUGAAAAUAAAAGUUUACCGAGGAUGGAUGAAUAAUCAAAAAAAGUUUUGACUUCAAUUCUGGGGCUUCUGUUGCUUGAGGAUUAUUUGUAAUUUUAUGGGACAAUGAGGAACGGUUCGCUGCUAAGAUCUUAAAACGUGAGUGAAUCGUAGGAUGUAAAGUUUGUAAAGUAUGUCUGAGCACGCCUAUAAAAAAUGUAUACAUAAAUAGA